AAGUCGUAACAAGGUCUCCGUUGGUGAACCAGCGGAGGGAUCAUUACCGAGUUUACAACUCCCAAACCCAAUGUGAACGUUACCAAACUGUUGCCUCGGCGGGAUCUCUGCCCCGGGUGCGUCGCAGCCCCGGACCAAGGCGCCCGCCGGAGACCCAAAACUCUUGUAUUUCUUUAGUAUCUUCUGAGUAAACAAGCAAAUAAAUUAAAACUUUCAACAACGGAUCUCUUGGUUCUG
rnacentral:misc_RNA from 1 species